UUUCGGGAUCUUGAAAAGGGUGGUUGCCAACGUCGUGAUUCCAAGCAUAUUGUGACAUCUGCAACUCUGAAUACUCAAACGUUCCCAAACUUCUUUGGAAGAUUCCAAAGUUUCACAUCCAUGACGAGAUCGAGGCAGCUUGUCGAAUAGCUCGUUGCAGCCUCAAUGAAAGGGGUGCCCAAACUUUUGAUAAAUGAAAAAAUAUUGUAAAAGUUAGUGAG